UGACCAGGCACCCCUAAAAAAUAAUUUGUUUUUGACCACAACAAAGACAUUGGUAAUAAUUAAGGCAAGAAACUAAUGUGAGUAAUGUGUUCGUAGGGUCACAUACACUAAUAGGGAUGAUAAACACAAAAACAGAAGUAAAUCAUUUAUAUAAUUUUGCAAGGUGAUAAAUAUUAUGGGGGGGGGAAAAACAGGUAAGUGAGACCAGAAGUAUCGUGGGAGUAGGACAGAUUGCAGAUAAGAUAGAGUGACUAGGAUAUGCCUUAUUGGCAAAAUGAAAUUUGAGCAGAACUGAAGGAAUUAGCCAUGGAGAAAUCUGGAAGUGUGUUCUGGGCAGAGAAAACAGAACAAAGCCUCUAAUAGAUAUAAGUAGCUUUAGUAGGAAGUCAGUGCAACUGGUUCAGUGUAAGAAGGAAGGGUAGAAGCAGGUAAGGUCAAAGAGUUAAAGGGAGUGGCCAGGUCAGGUAGGGCCAUAUGAGCUAUUAAAUACAUGGACUUCAGUAUUUACUCUCAGUGAAAGGGAAAACAAUCACAAAGUUUUGGGCAGAAGGGUGAUAUAAGCCACUGGUGCCCAGCCAGAGGUGAUUUUGUCCCCCUAAAGGGCAUUUGGCAGUAUCUGGAGACAUUUUUGGCUGUCACAACUGGGGGCAGAUACUACCAGAAUCUAGUAGGUAGAACGGUCAGAGAUGCUGCUCAAUACCCUACAACACAGCAGACAAUUCCCUAUAACAAAAAUUAUUGGGCUUAAUAAAAUGUCUGUAGUGUCAAAGUUGAGAAAUCUUGAUAUAACCUUACAAUUAAUAGGAUUACUCUCUGGCUACUGAGUUGAGAAAAGAUUGUAGGGCAAGGGAAAAAAACAGGGAAACCAAGGAAAACAGGAAGCUAUUGCAGUAUCUAGGCAAGAAAUGGUGGUGGCUUGGAGCAGGUGGUAAAAAGACAUCCGCAUUCUGCAUAUAUUUGAAGGCAGAACAACAAGAUUAGCUGAUGACACCACUGGAGAAGUGAGAACAAGAAGUUAUGGAAGGGUGGUGUUCCAUCAACUGUGAAGGGGAAGGCUGUAGGGUAGAAUAAAUUAUUUUGGGGGGUAAGAUUUGGAGUUUUAGGUUUUGGACACAUGAAUUUGCUUACGUCUAUGAGACAUCUAAGUGGAAAUGUUGAGUAUGUAGUUAGAUAUACUAGUCUGUAGUUCGGAAAAGACUGCAAAAGGACAACCAAGCAAGGUAGGAAGAGGACUGUGGAGUCUGGAAGUUUGGUGAAGUGUAUCAAGGAGGAAAGAUCAACUGCUGAAAGGUCAAGUAAAAUGAAGACUAAAAGCUGACCACUGGAUUUGGCAAUGUGAAAGUCACUGUGACUUGGAUGAGGACAGUUUUGGUCCUCAUCCCCUAAUCACAGGGGCAGACCCUGACUGGAGUGGGUAAGAGACAAAGUGGGGAGCAGAAUUAGAGAGAUAAAAGCCCAAUUUUGGGAACUAUUCCUGCAAAGGGGAACACAGAAAUAGAGUGGUGGCUAGUAGUAGUAGAAUCAAAUAUCUUAAAAUUUGUUUUUAGGGAGAGCAAUUACAACAUGCCAAUAUACUAAUCAGAAUGACCCAUCAGAGAAUAAGAAAUUGAUGAUGUGGAAGAGAGAGAAGAAAAUGCAGGCAAAAGGGAAUGGGAUCCAAAACUCCAAUGGGGGCACUGGGUCUAGACAGGAGCAGGAAAGUCUGUCUCUGUUCUAGGUGAAAAGGAAGAGUGUUAGUUGAGAUGAGAGGAAAGAACACGUAACCCCAAAUGUUGGUAGACAUGCGGGGCUAGGGGUCUGCAGAAGGUUUAUUUUGAUUGAUUUCCAUGAACCCUAUCCCGACACCACAAUCUGAAUGACCUCUCCCUCUUAUCAUUUCUAUUACAUUUAUUCUGUAUCACUUGGUAGGUAUUUAUAACAGUGUAGUGUUUGUAACUUUCCAAAUGCAUGUGUUUUAUAACUUAACUGUAAGUUCCUCAAGGGACAUCUAUUAACUAUUUAAUGCUUGUAACAAUAUUACAAAUAGGUACUAUUAUCUCCAUUUUUCAGAUGGGGAAACUGAGGCAUACAGAUGCUAAGUAACUCACUAAGAUCACACAGGCAGUAAGUGGAGGAGCCAGUAUUUGAACUCUUGCAAUUUUGGCUUUAAUUCCAUGUCAUAUCCAUUUUGUAGACACAGAAUCCACAGGUACCUGUCCUCCAGGGUCUUUUUAAAUUUCACAACACAAGUGAGAUAUCUCACUGGUUAAAUAGAAAUGGCUAAAUUACUUAUGAAAUUAAAAACCACUUUUCUUCUGAAUACGAACAUUUAAAAUACAAAGAUAAGCUGUGGGAAAGAAGAAUGGGAAGCUAUUGUUUAUUUGGUACAGUUUCAGUUCUGCAACUGAAGAGUUCAGAAACAGAUGGUAGUGAAGGGAGUACAACACAGAAUAUACUUAGUACCACUGAACUGUACAUUUAAAGUUAUAAUGGUAAAUUUUGUUAUGUAUAUUUUAACACAAUUUUAAAAAAGAAAGCUAAGAAACAGAAAAAAAAAAAAAACAACCCAAAAAAUAAACACAACCAGGCAGACUAGGACCAAGAAAGUGUAGAGAACUGUUCCACUUCAAGUAACCAUCUGAACAGCCAGUAGCUUUAGGGUGAGGCUGGGGGCACAAAACUAUCCGCUAAGUCCAGCUGCUGACAAAUAACCAACCAUGUAGACACUGAAUUUUAUAUUAACAGGGUACACCAAUGGUGAUGAUUAAAAUAAAAUCAACAAAUUGUGGGAAAAAAAAGAUAAAAUACAAUACAAAUUAGUCUUUGUUAAAAAAAAUUAAAACAAAGAUAAGACAAUGAAAUAGAAUUAAAUAGGGCUAUCAGCAUAGAUCUGACCAUCUAACCACAUAUGCCACACAAUUUCUAGUGAGACAAAGCUCUGUUUUCCCCCCUUUAUUGAACACAAACAUAAUUAAAAGGGGCUGCAGAAAAAGGAGGUUGUAUUUACUAUCUGUGUUCUCCACCAGAAUAUAUGAUAAAUGACAAAUCUGUUCUGCUUACCAUCUUCUUCCUAACACCUGGAACAAGUCCUAGAUAUGGCAGAUGCUCAAAGAAAUUUGCUGAAUCAAUGAUAUGAUCAGAAAUAAUGUAUUCCAUUAGUUCUACUAGAAUGCCACAUUACCUUCUCCCCCCCUCUUAACACCACCAUGCUAUUAGAAUUCUGUAACUUCCUCAACUCUUACAACCUUUGCUUAUGCUUAAUUUUUAGCAACCUACUUCUAUGGCUUCACCCUGAACCUAAAACUAUUCCCACUUUAAGUUAUUAAAUAAUAAUAUAGGUAUUUCUGGCCACUCAUUCAACAGAUUAUUUAUUUAUAUACCUAACUAUACAUACAUACACAAUAAUGUCAGUAAGUAACCAUAACCUUUCUCUCCAACUCCUAUUAUAACUCUUUAUCCUCACCUAAACAUCUAAGCCCCACUACCUUGCAGUCCCUUACACUGCUGCUCAUGGCUUUCAGCUGUUCUCCCAAGGAGAGACAGAAAGGACAGAGAUCAGACAGGUAUGUAAAAUCUUUGAAAAAAGUAGGCCUCACUGCUGUGUGCUGACAUAAAAGCAAAGUGAAACCCCAAGUCCAGCUCAAAGGAGUAAUCUGAAAUUUUCCUGAAGUUGACACAGCCCCUUUCCCCACAUUAUGAGAUCUACAAUCCCCUUCCUGUUAGGUACUCUCUCAUCACCAUAACAACACACAUUCCAUAAAAAAACAGGGGGGUCAUUAAAGAAAGGCAGGAGAGAACUUUUGAUGCUGCUUUUCAGGCAUCCCAUUCAGACUUAACCUGGACAUUAAUACAGAUGCCUGGUGGAUGGCAUUGUCACUCAUGUUGAUGAAAUCUUCAAAGACAGGCCAUGAUUCAGGCUCAGAACACCCUACCCAAGCUCCCAUAGAGACCAAAGAUGUUGUUACAAGACAGGAGAAGACUAUUGAACUGUGUUUCCUAAAAAUGAUAUGCUUCUGUACCAGCACCUCAGAAUGCAGUUUUAUUUGGGAAUGAGGUCAUUGCAAAUAAAAUUGGUUAAGAUGAGGUCAUGUUGGAGUAGAAUGGAACCCCAAUCCAAUAUGGUAUCCUUAUAAGAAGACAGCCAUGUGAAGACACAGAGACACAGGGAGAAUGCCAUGUGAAGAUGGAAACAGAUUAAAAUGAUGCCUUUAAAGCCAAGAAACCC